rnacentral:misc_RNA from 1 species
AUCGAAAGGUGGUGUGUGUCAAUUGGUCCCAUUUAAAUUUAUUUGAGAUCUAACAACUACUUUUGGAGUUAUAUCUAAUAAUGCGUUUUUACUUGACGCUUUUUUUGUCGACCUACGUUGUAUUAUACCGCAUAACUUUCUACUGGAUGUACCGAUUUUGAUAAGUCUUUUUUUUUGUUGGAAAGGAGAUAUCCUUAGUUUAGUACCAUGAUAAGGAAACCAGGAUUUGAUGAUGGGAUCCUAGAGAAAUCGAGGGAAUCUCUUGAAAAUCCGCAAUAACUUUUUACUGGGUGUACCGAUUUUAAUAAUUUUUAAUUUAAUCGAAAGCUGAUGUUUGUCAUGUG